rnacentral:rRNA from 1 species
AGCGAACGCUGGCGGCAGGCUUAACACAUGCAAGUCGAGCGGGCACUUUCGGGUGUCAGCGGCGGACGGGUGAGUAACGCGUGGGAACGUGCCCUCUGGUUCGGAAUAACUCAGGGAAACUUGAGCUAAUACCGGAUACGCCCUUUUGGGGAAAGGUUUGCUGCCGGAGGAUCGGCCCGCGUCUGAUUAGCUAGUUGGUGAGGUAACGGCUCACCAAGGCGACGAUCAGUAGCUGGUCUGAGAGGAUGAUCAGCCACACUGGGACUGAGACACGGCCCAGACUCCUACGGGAGGCAGCAGUGGGGAAUAUUGGACAAUGGGCGCAAGCCUGAUCCAGCCAUGCCGCGUGAGUGAUGAAGGCCUUAGGGUUGUAAAGCUCUUUUAUCCGGGACGAUAAUGACGGUACCGGAGGAAUAAGCCCCGGCUAACUUCGUG